AGUGCAGCCAAAAUGGUCUUGCUGAGAGUAGGUGAGUGCAAGAAUAAACAUUCAGGCGGCUCUCAAGGACACUUCUGUUGCUGUGUGAGUGCACGUGUUGCGCAACCCUUUAGCGUGUGUUCAGAAGGACAUUUUGGAAAGUCCACAAAAGGAAAACGCUAGGACGAGCACUUUUUAUCGGGAACGCUAACUUUUAUGGCUUUGAGAGCAUUUUGACACACACUCCAGAUAAUGAAUUUCAAUUAUCUCUCCUCUGACACGAAAAAAAAUGCAAUCACAAGUGAGCUGCCUUCAAGAAGCAACAUUGCAGAAGGAAUAGAAGAUGCAAAUAUCUUUGAAGAGAGCAAAAAGGCAGACGAUUUGGAGUGCAAGAGGUGCUACAGCGACGUGUCACAUCCUGUGCCAGCACCACCAAGCUGCACUUAUGAAGAAAUGACAGAUCUCUCACAUUCAGAAACACCAAGACACUCCCAGAAUGCAUUUCUGUCAGCUUUGGAACAGCCUGUCAGACAAGCCACAGGUAAAAUAUUGUUUCAUUUCCCCCCCAAUGGGAAACAGCUUUGAAAUGUGUUCCAUUAUUAAUGUUUGGCUGGAGGAUGCCACUCUCUCCCCAAUCCUCCCUCCUCCCAUUCUUGACACGCAACAUGCGAUGCCUUAUCGACUGGAGUUGCAACUGCUUGGUGUAAAUCAUGAGACAUUUCUGCUUUCUGCAUAAAGCCCGUAAACGCUGGGAAGAAACGUAUGGACAAAGUUAUUCUGGUGUCAGUAUCUAAUUGAAUUUGUGGAGAUGUGAAGUGAUGCACUCUAAUUACUGUAAUUUGUCAGCAAUCUCUAACAGAUUGUUUUUCCAAUGGCGUAACUAAUACGGGGUUGGGAAAUGCUUAACAGGUGGGCAUAUAGCCAAGUAUAGUUUUCCGAGCUCAGCCGUCCUCCUCCCGGCCUCCUCCACUGGUAACCGUGGCAACCGCCUCCUGCUCUGAUCCCAGGGCAUACAUAGUUUUCCUUCCCCUUCCACUAGCUCCACUGACGUCGCUGUGCUUCUCCUCACAUCAGUGUGUCUCUGCAAAAACUCUUUUUCUCCACUCUUUAAUCCGAGACCACCUGCCUGCACAGACUCUAAAUCCCCUUCAAGGCUCAAAUACAGCUAAGGUGUCAGACGGCGAGGCUGCUCUCUACAAGGCAAGUAGAACACCAGUGCGAGUCAGUCUGGCGUCUUGUGGGAUUUUUGUCAACCUGAUGCACGAAUGCGCAUUUGCAAUCUUGCGUCCCGACCUGAUUUUUGCAGGUCACGCAAGCGUCGAAGCCGGUGUCUCUGACUCAACCCGAAUGUGUCGGACUGUCAAUAAAGUACAUUUGCAGCUAACAUUUGCCAACGCCGUACUAAUUCUUGGUGAUCCCUCUUGCCAUAAGGCUGCAAGUUUGACCCCAUACACCAUCUGGAGCUCAUACUGUACAGUUA